UACGUAGGGUGCGAGCGUUGUCCGGAAUUAUUGGGCGUAAAGGGCUCGUAGGCGGUUUGUCGCGUCUGCUGUGAAAACCGGAGGCUCAACCUCCGGCCUGCAGUGGGUACGGGCAAACUAGAGUGCGGUAGGGGAGAUUGGAAUUCCUGGUGUAGCGGUGGAAUGCGCAGAUAUCAGGAGGAACACCGAUGGCGAAGGCAGAUCUCUGGGCCGUAACUGACGCUGAGGAGCGAAAGCGUGGGGAGCGAACAGG
rnacentral:rRNA from 1 species